rnacentral:sRNA from 1 species
AAAAAAAAAUUUAAAAAAAGAGGGAUGCAACACGAGGACUUCCCAGGAGGUCACCCAUCGUAGUACUACUCUCGCCCACGCACGCUUAACUGCGGAGUUCUGAUGGGAUACGGUGUAUUAGUGCUGGUAUGAUCGCAUCUGUUAGUAUAUGCAAUGCAAUUGUAUAUAUUCUUUUUUGAAGACUUGAUGAACCAUUCGCCGUGGGUCCCACCCGCUAUGUAGGGAUACCCCAUCUAGUCUUAACGAGCUUUGAUGCGUCAAAAAAAUCUAAAACAAUGCUUGAACAAGUAAUUUUGGGUCCGUACUAUAGCCCAAAUCACAAUAAUGCCCGAAAAAGUACUUAAAUGUCAAAAUUUGGGAUCGACAAAAAGUCAAUGGAAAGGUUCCAUUGUCCUGCUUCUUUCGUCGGAGGGCUCUCUUUGGGCUUUCCAAAAAGGUAUCACAUGCUAAGGUUGGCCUCACGGUAUAAAAGUUAUAGAGUCAUAAAGUUUUACCAAAAAAAAAACAAAUUAAAAAAAAGAGGGAUGCAACACGAGGACUUCCCGGGAGGUCACCCAUCCUGGAACAACUCUCGCUCAAGCACGCUUAACUAAAGGUCAAAAUUUGGAGUCGACAAAAAAUCAAUGGAUAUGUUCCAUUGUCCGACUUCUUUCAUCAGAGGACUCACUUUGGGCUUUACGAAAAGGUAUCACAUGCCAAGUUUGGCCUCACUGUAUAAAUGUUAUAGAGUCAUAAAGUUUUAAUCAAAA